ACUCCUACGGGAGGCAGCAGUGGGGAAUAUUGCACAAUGGGCGCAAGCCUGAUGCAGCCAUGCCGCGUGUAUGAAGAAGGCCUUCGGGUUGUAAAGUACUUUCAGCAGUGAGGAAGGUGGGUAUGUUAAUAGCAUAUUCAUUUGACGUUAGCUGCAGAAGAAGCACCGGCUAACUCCGUGCCAGCAGCCGCGGUAAUACGGAGGGUGCGAGCGUUAAUCGGAAUUACUGGGCGUAAAGCGCAUGCAGGUGGUUUGUUAAGUCAGAUGUGAAAGCCCGGGGCUCAACCUCGGAAUUGCAUUUGAAACUGGCAAACUAGAGUACUGUAGAGGGGGGUAGAAUUUCAGGUGUAGCGGUGAAAUGCGUAGAGAUCUGAAGGAAUACCGGUGGCGAAGGCGGCCCCCUGGACAGAUACUGACACUCAGAUGCGAAAGCGUGGGGAGCAAACAGGAUUAGAUAACCUGGUAGGCGUAG
rnacentral:rRNA from 1 species